rnacentral:misc_RNA from 1 species
AGAUCGCGGGCGAGCGGAGCGCAACACUCGCUUGGUUGGGGAGAUCGGCGCUUGGCCG